UACGGAGGGUGCGAGCGUUGUCCGGAAUCACUGGGCGUAAAGGGCGCGUAGGCGGCCUUCUAAGUCGAACGUGAAAUCCCCGGGCUCAACCCGGGAACUGCGUCCGAGACUGGAAGGCUUGAAUCCGGGAGAGGGAUGUGGAAUUCCAGGUGUAGCGGUGAAAUGCGUAGAUAUCUGGAGGAACAUCGGUGGCGAAGGCGGCAUCCUGGACCGGUAUUGACGCUGAGGCGCGAAAGCCAGGGGAGCAAACGGG
rnacentral:rRNA from 1 species